UCGAGCGAGUCUGCCUUGAAGAUCGGAGUGCUUGCACUCUGUGAAACAAGAUACAGGCUAGCGGCGGACGGGUGAGUAACACGUGGGUAACCUGCCCAAGAGAUCGGGAUAACACCUGGAAACAGAUGCUAAUACCGGAUAACAACAGAUGAUGCCUAUCAACUGUUUAAAAGAUGGUUCUGCUAUCACUCUUGGAUGGACAUGCGGUGCAUUAGCUAGUUGGUAGGGUAACGGCCUACCAAGGCGAUGAUGCAUAGCCGAGUUGAGAGACUGAUCGGCCACAUUGGGACUGAGACACGGCCCAAACUCCUACGGGAGGCAGCAGUAGGGAAUCUUCCACAAUGGACGCAAGUCUGAUGGAGCAACGCCGCGUGAGUGAAGAAGGGUUUCGGCUCGUAAAGCUCUGUUGUUGGUGAAGAAGGACAGGGGUAGUAACUGACCUUUGUUUGACGGUAAUCAAUUAGAAAGUCACGGCUAACUACGUGCCAGCAGCCGCGGUAAUACGUAGGUGGCAAGCGUUGUCCGGAUUUAUUGGGCGUAAAGCGAGUGCAGGCGGCUCGAUAAGUCUGAUGUGAAAGCCUUCGGCUCAACCGGAGAACUGCAUCAGAAACUGUCGAGCUUGAGUACAGAAGAGGAGAGUGGAACUCCAUGUGUAGCGGUGAAAUGCGUAGAUAUAUGGAAGAACACCGGUGGCGAAGGCGGCUCUCUGGUCUGUUACUGACGCUGAGGCUCGAAAGCAUGGGUAGCGAACAGGAUUAGAUACCCUGGUAGUCCAUGCCG
rnacentral:rRNA from 1 species